AAAGUUAACUAUUGCUAUUAGCGCUCUCAACAGAUAUGUCGAGUUCCAUAACAAAACAAAAUCCCAAUGCAUUGGAGGGCCAACAAGUAAAGAGCAAACAAUAAUCACAAUAACAAAGCGAAUUCUUGUAUAUGUAGUAGACUCUCAAUAGCGGGAGUACACGCUCGCCGAAACAGCUGGAGCUAAUGCCGACACGACCAUUGACAAAGGCAUCAACAAAAACUAGAAAGCUCCAUAAUCAUAUUCUCCCACCGAAGCAGCUUUCCGGCGGCAAGCUAACGAUCAGUGGGUGACUUGUACUGCCGCAUUGUGUACGUCGUGGUGUCAGUUUAUUUUCGCUUGCUGCGCUGGGCGGUUGUGUUUCUUAGCCGCGGUGAAUCCGUUUUCAUUUCUAUUUGCAAAACAUUUUUUUAAAUUUAAACGACAAAGUUUUAUAUAUAAUGAAGAAGUGUAUACAAAGCGCUGGGUAAUUUAGAGCGGUUUAAUGAGACAUUUCAAUCUGUUCGAUUAAAGCCGGUGCGAUUACAAAUUAAGAGACAUAUAAAUAUACUUCAUACCAAUCGUCGAAUCGCAGCAGUUUAUCAAAGCAAAGUGAAUUUAGUAUAUCCCAGUUUAUUCAGUUGCAUCGAAGAAAAAAGCUGCCACUUCAAAUCCAGUUAAUAGCGAUUGCAAUUGUAUUGUUCAAAUCGUUGAAAAGUAAAAUAUUCCAUCAGCGGCCGUUUGUUGUAGUCCGUAGCGUUCCAUUGUGGAUUCAUAAAAAAUAAAUAAAAUAAUAUAUCAAUUUUUAAUUAACAUCACACUGGUCAUAGUGGUAGCCAAAUUGUUCUUAAAUAAAAAAUGUUACAUCGCUUUUCGGGGAGAGAAAGGAUUGGUCAGUGUACAACGAUAGCAAACGAGACGGGCUUUCGGAUCGAUUCCGAGCGAAACCGAACGAUUAAAGAAUACAUUCAGCAACAAUCAGACGUCGUAUCUACUAUCAAAAUGCGCUCCUGCCAACAGUGUUCAGUAUUUAUAGCUUUAGCCGUAUUUCUAGCCCUAGUCACAACUGUUUCCUCCAAUCCUGUACAAACAACGACGCAAGCCGAGAUUUAUCUGUCGCAAUUUGGAUAUCUGCCUGCUUCAGCUCGAAAUCCUGCCAACGGCGGACUACUGGAUGCGAGCACGUGGACUAAAGCUGUGCAAGAUUUCCAAAGCUUUGCUGGCUUAAAUAUAACCGGGGAUUUGGAUGGUGAGACUUUGGAGUUGAUGUCACUGCCACGAUGUGGUGUGCGAGAUAAGGUGGGAUUUGGCACCGAUAGCCGCUCAAAACGAUAUGCCUUACAAGGUAGCCGCUGGCGGGUCAAGGCGUUGACCUACAAAAUAUCUAAAUAUCCGAAACGGCUGAAGCGCAAUGACGUUGAUGCAGAAAUAGCCCGUGCCUUCAGUGUCUGGAGUGAUUUCACAGACUUGUCAUUCACUCCCAAAUCGUCUGGUCCAGUUCAUAUUGAAAUUAAAUUUGUUGAGAGCGAGCAUGGAGAUGGAGAUGCUUUCGAUGGUGUGGGCGGUACAUUGGCUCAUGCAUUCUUUCCAGUAUUUGGUGGAGAUGCACAUUUUGAUGACGCAGAGCUGUGGACAAUCGGGUCGCCGCGUGGAACGAAUCUUUUUCAAGUAGCCGCUCAUGAAUUCGGCCACUCUUUAGGCUUAUCCCACUCAGAUGUGCGCUCUGCGUUGAUGGCACCUUUCUAUCGGGGAUUUGAUCCAGUAUUUAAACUUGAUUCAGAUGACGUUCUAGCCAUUCAAGCUUUGUAUGGUAAGAAAACAAAUGGUGUAGCAGACCGUGGAGGCUUCCCAAAAACCACACAAAGACCAGUAUUUUCCCCACCUAAAGUGCCUAGAGAUGACAUUAUUUGCAAAGAUCCAAGAGUUGAUACAUUAUUUAAUUCAGCUGAUGGACAAACAUAUGCCUUCAAGGGUAAUAAGUACUACAGGCUCACCGAAAAUUCCAUUGCGGAUGGAUAUCCCAAACUUAUAUCCGAGGGCUGGCCAGGGUUACCAGGAGAUAUCGAUGCAGCAUUCACGUACAAAAAUGGAAAGACUUAUUUCUUCAAAGGCACCAAGUAUUGGCGCUACAACGGUCGACAAAUGGAUGGUGACUAUCCAAAAGAAAUCAGCGAAGGAUUUACUGGAAUACCAGAUCAUUUGGAUGCCGCUAUGGUUUGGGGUGGUAAUGGAAAAAUUUACUUCUAUAAGGGUAGCAAAUUUUGGCGAUUCGACCCAUUAAAGCGCCCACCAGUGAAAUCAAGUUAUCCGAAACCUAUCUCCAAUUGGGAAGGACUGCCAAAUAAUAUUGAUGCGGCGUUACAGUACACCAACGGUUAUACAUACUUCUUCAAGGGCGACAAAUACUACAGAUUCAACGACAGAACUUUUUCGGUCGAUGCUGCUAACCCACCAUUCCCAAGACCAUCAGCUCACUGGUGGUUCGGUUGCAAAAAUGUGCCCUCAUCAACAGAUGAGAAACCUGGGAACGGCAAUAUUCCCGGUUGGAUGUGGAGCAUAGCGAAUUCCUUCUUUUAAUUAGAAUAAUAAACUUCCACAACGACAUGCAUAUGAAAAUAUGAAGUCGUAUUAAUUUGGACAAAAUGAAAAUAUAAAUAAAUAAAAGAAAUAGUAUCAUAGCCAUAAUAUUUUUAUGUGAAACCAAGAUGAGCGUUGAAUGUGUACGCAUAAAAGGGUAUACAUAUACAUACACGUAUGCAUAUCCAUAUAAAUAGAAGGGAGCAGGAAAUUUGUGUGUGCUGUGCCGCUGAAAUUUAGAAAUGCCCAUCAACAAAAUCAUACGAAAAUAAUUGAACAUGUCGGAAAUAGGGAGACUGUCGUGACCAUCGCUUUCAUCAUCAAGCUUCUUCAUUCAUCAUAAAAUUAAACAUAUUGCUUUUUGUGUUCGUCAAACAAUGUCCAGCUCAUGGAGGUUGUGCGCCCUGCAGUUGUAAAAACAGUUGAAGCUGUUCCAAUAAAAUCACUAUUCCGGAAGAAGAAACUGGCGCUUACUUCUGUGGUCGCACCGUCUCCAUGCCGUAACCUCGGCUUACUUGUGGCUCAUAUCGUAAGCCAAACUUGCUUGCCAAAUAUCAUCGCUCAUACGAUAGAAUGGUUGAAAAUGAAAUGAUGAUCACCAAGCACAUGACGAGUCUCCGGAAGCGGAUGCCUCAAGACAAAGCAAUUCUGCUAAGAAAUUGCACGAAGCACACAGUUGGAGUUUGCUUAUGACAACGGCCGUAAUGCUGCUGAUUUAUAAGAUUACAACCAGCUAAAACAUUCAAAAAAGUGCAAUGCAAAUGCGCGUACAUACACUCCUAAUUAUGUGCAGAGAAAGGCAUGCGAGUGAACUGGAAUGGAGCUGCAAGUAGUUUUAUGAUAUCCAAAUAAAAAAUACAAAUAUGAAAAUAAGAAGACAAUGGACGAACCCAGGAUCGCGUUCUCUCUUAGCUGCUCAGAACACUUGUACAUUAGAAUUAGCUUUAAGGGAGCGCAUGCAAAACUGUAAGCACUUACAUACAUACAAUACAUGCAUAUAUUUAGUUAAUAAUUAUAUCAUACGUGUAAGUUCAUUAUUUAGUUUAAGCGACAAAAGUGCGAACGAAUUGUGACAUUUUAAUAAUUUUAUUGUAAAUUAUGCACAUACAUAUGUAUAUAAAAUUACCUAGCCAUUAGCAGUUAGCUGCAAACGACCUCAAAGUAUACAUAUAAGUAUAUCUGAACAUCGCAAUAAGUUGUCAUUAAUUUUUUUAACGAAUUAAAUGGCUAAAGUUGGCUGCAUGUGCAGUAUCCUUAAAACAAAGUUUAUAUGUAAAAAAAAAAAAUGUAGUUUAUCACCUAAGAUAUUAUAUUUCAACAUUCCAAUGAAAAUCUUGUCCAAAAUUCUCCAAUUGAGGUAGUCGAAUAAACCUACACGUAUGCACCGUUUAAUUGGUUUAACCAAAUUGUAUACAUACUGCAUUUGUCGGUGGCUUAGAAACUUGUUCUUUUAAUAUAAAAUAAAUAUGUUUUUAAGAUUUGACUUGUAAUAUCGAUUUUAAGAAUAUAUUUUUAGCAAUAUUUACAUACAUAUCUUAAGUGUAAUGUAAUAUGAAUAUCAUCAGUAAACGUAUUGAAUGUGAAAAUACGGAAUUAAUAUUUAACUCCGGAUAUUAUAGUCAUUUGAGAAUUGUACGUGUGUUUAUUUGUACAUAUGUAAAUAGCUUAAAUGCAACCAUCUUGAUAUACAAACAA